rnacentral:rRNA from 1 species
CCUACGGGAGGCAGCAGUGGGGAAUAUUGGUCAAUGGGCGUAAGCCUGAACCAGCCAAGUCGCGUGAGGGAUGAAGGUUCUAUGGAUUGUAAACCUCUUUUAUAAGGGAAUAAAGUGUGGGACGUGUCCUGUUUUGUAUGUACCUUAUGAAUAAGGAUCGGCUAACUCCGUGCCAGCAGCCGCGGUAAUCGGGAGGAUACGAGCGUUAUCCGGAUUUAUUGGGUUUAAAGGGGGCGUAGGGGGCCUUUAAGUCAGCGGUGAAAGUCUGUGGCUCAACCAUAGAAUUGCCGUUGAAACUGGGAGGCUUGAGUAUGUGUGAGGCAGGCGGAAUGCGUGGUGUAGCAGUGAAAUGCUUAGAUAUCACGCAGAACCCCGAUUGCGAAGGCAGCCUGCCAGGCCAUGACUGACGCUGAUGCACGAAAGCGUGGGGAGCGAACAGGAUUAGAUACCCCAGUAGUC